rnacentral:rRNA from 1 species
UACGGGGGGGGGAAGCGUUGUUCGGAAUUACUGGGCGUAAAGGGCUCGUAGGCGGCCAACUAAGUCGGACGUGAAAUCCCUCAGCUUAACUGGGGAACUGCGUCUGAUACUGGAUGGCUUGGAUUUGGGAGAGGGAUGCGGAAUUCCAGGUGUAGCGGUGAAAUGCGUAGAUAUCUGGAGGAACACCGGUGGCGAAGGCGGCAUCCUGGACCAACAUUGACGCUGAGGAGCGAAAGCCAGGGGAGCAAACGGG